rnacentral:rRNA from 1 species
CGGACGGGUGAGUAACACGUGGAUAACCUACCUAUAAGACUGGGAUAACUUCGGGAAACCGGAGCUAAUACCGGAUAAUAUAUUGAACCGCAUGGUUCAAUAGUGAAAGACGGUUUUGCUGUCACUUAUAGAUGGAUCCGCGCCGCAUUAGCUAGUUGGUAAGGUAACGGCUUACCAAGGCAACGAUGCGUAGCCGACCUGAGAGGGUGAUCGGCCACACUGGAACUGAGACACGGUCCAGACUCCUACGGGAGGCAGCAGNU